AUGGUGGACUUGAGUGCGCCACUUGAUGAUUUUGAACGGGAAUGCAACCGCAAGCCGAGCCCUAUCCGGAGAUGGGAGGAGAGGGUUGACGUCGAUGACGAAGUGGAAGAGCAUGAUGAGGAGUUUGAUGCUAGCCAAGCCAAUUUCAGGAGAAGGACCGGAAACUACACCGAGGUGGAGGACACUUGCUUGAUUCGAGCAUGGGAGAGUGUGUCUCUCGAUGCGGUGACCGACAAAGAUCAAAAUGGCAAGAAGUAUUGGCAACGUAUUGAAGACAAAUAUCACAAGAUUGUGCCGGUUCCUUGA
rnacentral:rRNA from 1 species